CCUACGGGCGGCAGCAGUGAGGAAUAUUGGUCAAUGGACGAGAGUCUGAACCAGCCAAGUCGCGUGAAGGAUGACUGCCCUAUGGGUUGUAAACUUCUUUUAUAUGGGAAUAAAAUGCUCCACGUGUGGGGUUUUGUAUGUAACAUAUGAAUAAGGAUCGGCUAACUCCGUGCCAGCCGCCGGGGUAAUACGGAGGAUUCGAGCGUUAACCGGAUUUAUUGGGUUUAAAGGGGGCGUAGGUGGGUUGUUAAGUCAGUUGGGAAAGUUUGGGGCUUAACCGUGAAAUUGCAGUUGAAACUGGCAGUCUUGAGUACAGUAGAGGUAGGCGGAAUGCGUGGUGUAGCGGUGAAAUGCUUAGAUAUCACGCAGAACUCCGAUUGCGAAGGCAGUUCACCGGACUGCAACUGACGCUGAGGCACGAAAGUGUGGGUAUCGAACAGGAUUAGAUACCCGAGUAGUC
rnacentral:rRNA from 1 species